AACACGUGCCUGCGAGUGCCUUAAAUAGCUAUCAUUUGUGCACUUAGAGAAUUUCAAUGCAUUUUAAGUAAGCCACCUGAAAACAUUUUCCCUGAAGGACUCAAAACAAUUUAAGGAAAUGCGUAAUUCGGUUGUUGCGUUAAACAGCUUGACGAUCUAAAUGGAACCUGACCCUUGAAACACGGCACAUGUUCCCGACCGACAUUGUUCAACACAAACGUUUUGCUUUAGGGAAUUUUGCAGGGGGGAAAAGAAAUGGCAUGUGGGAAGAAGGCCUUUCCCAUUGCUGACCUAACGCCAUCAUCUCAUGGACAAAGACCGUAAUUAGCGAGCUUUGACGGCGCGGGCUUGCAAAUGUGGCAUGUUCAUUACCGCACCACUACUGCAGCCACUAUGCAUUUAUCUCUUCUAGUAGGUCUUUCUCACCGCAGGCUCGCCGUGCACGGUUUAGAUGGGAGAGAGAGAGGGGCUACAGACGAUUCCAGUUACCUUGACACUCUAAUAGACUGCCAUAUCCUCAACCAGUGCAGUCGAGCAAACCAGUGGAGCAAAAAUCAUUAGGGCCGUCCUUAGGGGCGUGCAACUGGUGCGGCCGCACCGGGGCCCGCGGCGAAUGGACCCCGGAACACAGUGCCUCAAGCGAUCAUCCGAGUUUUCUCAACCCAUAUGCUACGUUGAAUACCUGCUGCGACGAAGAUUAUUAGUUACAUGCAACUGUCAUUAAAAAUGGAUUUAUUCACCCUCUGCAGGGAGCGGUUCUGCCCUCCUGAUCACAAGAGUGUGCUUUAACAGUAUGCUGGGCUUUCUCACUAAGUAACCCCAUACACUUAAUAAAAAAAUGUCAAAAUGUUUCAUUUGCAUAGUUCAUACCUACUCAA